rnacentral:rRNA from 1 species
GAUGAACGCUAGCGGCAGGCUUAACACAUGCAAGUCGAGGGGCAGCAUAAUGAAGUAGCAAUACGGAUUUGAUGGCGACCGGCGCACGGGUGCGUAACGCGUAUGCAACCUACCCAUAACAGGGGGAUAACACUGAGGAAUUGGUACUAAUACCCCAUAACACUUUAGGAGGCAUCUUCGUAAGUUGAAAGUUCAGGCGGUUAUGGAUGGGCAUGCGUUGUAUUAGCUAGAUGGUGAGGUAACGGCUCACCAUGGCUACGAUACAUAGGGGGACUGAGAGGUUAACCCCCCACACUGGUACUGAGAAACGGACCAGACUCCUACGGGAGGCAGCAGUGAGGAAUAUUGGUCAAUGGACGCAAGUCUGAACCAGCCAUGCCGCGUGCAGGAUGACGGCUCUAUGAGUUGUAAACUGCUUUUGUACAAGGGUAAACCCUGGGACGCGUCCCAGGCUGAAAGUACUGUACGAAUAAGGAUCGGCUAACUCCGUGCCAGCAGCCGCGGUAACAC